GUCUGUGCUGCUGCUAAGUGGUGAACUGGAAAAUUUGUUGACCAUGGAAUCAGACACUCUGCAAGCUGUUCACUCUUUCCAGUGCCAAUUCUGUGAAGAGGUGUUUUCAUCCAGCAUUCAGAUGGCACAACACUGGCAAGACCACCACCAGGAGGACCACAUAGAGCAGGAAGCAUCAAUCUACCACCUCCUCCAGACAACAGCCUUUGGUCUCACUCACCCCAUGGCCAACAGUGCAAGUGACACCAUCAAGGGUAGCAGUUGCUUGACCGAUUCUAACCACCAUGUUUCACCUGGAAAGUGUUCCAUGUACAAGGAGAAUUUAGUAUCAGAGGAAACAUGUCAAGGACUCGGUCAAACCCAUUCUGUUGAGAGUUCGAGUCAAGUAGCCAUCUCUGUAAAAUCUUCAGACUCACAAUCUGUUCCCAAGAAAGGAUUGAAGGACUUCUGUUGUGAAAUAUGCGGUCGGACUUACACAACCACAUCAAAUCUGAACAAGCACUAUCGCACACAUACAGGUGUUCUCUACUUCUGUAGCCUUUGUCAGAAAGGUUUUAAGUAUAAAGAGAGUCUAAAGAAACAUGAAAAAUGCCAUACACAAAGGAAGACUGAGAAUCAUGACUGUGUCUAUCAGUGUCAAUUUUGCCACAAGAAUUUUCCUGACAAACUCAGAUUAAGUAUUCACUUUCGUUCUCAUCCUAUGGAGAAAACGCACAAAUGCAAGCAGUGUGAACGAACCUUUCUCUACAAAAGUGGAUUAAGACGACAUAUGCUUUCACAUGCUUCUGAAAAGGCACAUAUAUGUCUCCACUGCACAAAAAGUUUCUUGACACUUCAUAGUCUGAAGGCACAUAUCAAGACCCAUUCUGGCAAGAAGCCGUUCUCCUGUGACAAAUGUGAAAAGGCUUUUGCUCAGAAGCUUACAUUAAUUGAGCAUAUGAAAUUACAUGAGGACACCAGAUCUUAUAAAUGUAGCUACUGUGGAAAAAGUUUCCAUCAGCGUUCAACACUGUGGGGACAUGAGAAGCUACACAAGCGUGAGAAGGUUCACAGAUGCAGUAAAUGUGAGGAACAUUUUGGGACGUUAAAAGAACUUCGGAGUCAUGAGAAGAAGCAUUGGUUGGAUUCCAGGCUGCACAAAACUGUUGACACUGAUGGGGAACCUGUCAAGGAUUCUGUGCAAACUAGACGAUUUGAGUGUGAUCUCUGCGGGGAAGCGUUCACCCAAAAGGCAGUGCUGCAAACGCACUACAGGAGACAUACAGGCGAAAAGCCAUUUAAAUGUAAUGUAUGUGGGAAACAAUUCAGACACUUGGCAUCCAGCAAGAGACAUGGUUUAAUCCACAAAGGUAUCAAACAGUAUCAUUGUGAUAUGUGUGAUAAAUCAUUCACCAAGAAGUCCUACUUGAAGUGGCAUGUCUCCAAGCUUCACUCCACUGUUGAUGACAGCAGACUGAAAGUUUGUGAUGAUACUUGUAAAGAGAAUUCGGAAGCUACAGACUCCCAGUCCGUGACAGGAACUGCUGAAAAGUGGAAUGAGGAUCCAGAUAGUGUGUUAUCACUAGAGGAUUGUGGUGGCAGUGAUAUGGAGUCUGAUGAUCAGAGACCAUUCAGUAGUCUAGAGGAGAAAGAAGGAAAGUGUAGAGAUGAACUGGAGGACUUAACACAAAAACAUGAAUUUGGUGGUCAGAGAAAACAAAGUGAUUGUGAGAAUAACCAGAUGGAGAGUCUGAAUACCCCUGACCAUCCAAGCUCGCAGAUCAUGGAGGGAACAAGCGUGAUAGUGUCAUUCCAGGAUGUUUGCGAUGUGCCAAUCAAUGAAGAAUGCGUCCACACAAUGAAUGUCCUGGACCAUGUCAUGCAACUGGCUGAGAUUUCCCAAAGGGACGUUGAAGAGUGUCAGAUCCAGAUUGAGAAUGUUCCGGGUUCCCCAGGUGAAGGGAGAAGCAUGGAAACUGAUCUAGAUAAGAAUAAAACACUGCUACAUGUAUCUCUUGAUAAUGUAACCAUUGACAAUCAGAAACCUUCUGCAGUUAAACCUUUUGUGUGUGAAUUAUGUGGACGAAUGUACAGCUCAAAUUCAUGCCUUCUGAGACACAAGCAAACUCACCUGAUCUCCAAGCCCCACAAGUGCAAUUUAUGUGACAAGUCCUAUAGCCGACGACCACUCUUACGAGAGCACAUUCAGUUCUCGCACAGUGAGCAGUACAAGGUUCACAAGUGUUCAUUCUGUGAGAAAUCGUUUCCCAAUGCGACCAGAUUAGAAUUGCAUGUCCGUACCCACACACAAGACAAACCCUUCAAGUGCCGAGAAUGUCAGAAAGGAUUCGCGGACUCCAGCAAUCUCAGGAGGCAUGAACGCAGUCAUAAGGGGUUGCGAACACAUAAGUGCCCCCAGUGUGGACAGCUGUUCUCUGAGAAGCCUGCCCUUCAGCGGCAUCAGGCCAGGCAUCAAGGAGAGAAGAACUAUCAAUGUCAGCACUGCACCAAGUCGUUUGUUCUGAAGACGGACCUACAGAGCCACAUCAUCUUGCAUAGAGCUGCCAAGGAAUCAGAAUGCUCUCUUUGUGGGUUGACAUUCAAGCGACAAAUCAGCUUCAAUCUUCAUCAGGCUACCACCAAAAAAAGUGCCAGGAAAUGCAGAGUUUGUGGCAUUGGAUUUGCGAAUGAAUGCAAGAGACGCCAACAUGAACUCAGUGAGCAUAAGUUUAUUAUCAAUGACUCGGGGUUUGUCUGUGGAUGCUGUGGGAAGAGUUUUAAUAGGCUCGGUAAAAUGGUGAACCAUAUAAGAGAGCAUUAAUGAAAUGUCAAAGUUUCAGACCUUUGAAAUUUCUGCAUAUGGUGGGUGGGGUAGGGGACUUCACAAUUUGAAGGCUUUUUUUUCUCACUGAUAGUUAUAAACAUAUUAUAAUCUGAUAGGCAAGGCCUGUCUUACUGUCUACUUAGAUUGAGUGCUCUAGUCUUCUUUCGUUCUCGUUUUUUUUCUCUCUGCUAAACAAAAAGUCAUAAGGGUGAAGAUCCCUGCUCCUGAUUGUAUUCCAAGUCCACAUGCAGAAGUAAACGAGCUAUGCGACUUAAAGUUUUAUGUUGGAAAUUAAUGUUAAUAAUU
rnacentral:misc_RNA from 1 species